rnacentral:rRNA from 1 species
CCUACGGGUGGCAGCAGUAGGGAAUAUUGCUCAAUGGGGGAAACCCUGAAGCAGCAACGCCGCGUGGAGGAUGAAGGUUUUCGGAUUGUAAACUCCUUUUGUUAGAGAAGAUAAUGACGGUAUCUAACGAAUAAGCACCGGCUAACUCCGUGCCAGCAGCCGCGGUAAUACGGAGGAUGCGAGCGUUAUCCGGAUUUAUUGGGUUUAAAGGGUGCGCAGGCGGAAGCGGCAAGUCAGCGGUAAAAUUGCGGGGCUCAACCUCGCCGAGCCGUUGAAACUGCUCUUCUAGAGUGGGCGAGAAGUAUGCGGAAUGCGUGGUGUAGCGGUGAAAUGCAUAGAUAUCACGCAGAACUCCGAUUGCGAAGGCAGCAUACCGGCGCCCAACUGACGCUCAUGCACGAAAGCGUGGGUAUCGAACAGGAUUAGAUACCCGGGUAGUC